rnacentral:rRNA from 1 species
GAUGAACGCUGGCGGCGUGCUUAACACAUGCAAGUCGAACGAUGAAGCCCAGCUUGCUGGGUGGAUUAGUGGCGAACGGGUGAGUAACACGUGAGUAACCUGCCCUUAACUCUGGGAUAAGCCUGGGAAACUGGGUCUAAUACCGGAUAGGAGCGUCCACCGCAUGGUGGGUGUUGGAAAGAUUUAUCGGUUUUGGAUGGACUCGCGGCCUAUCAGCUUGUUGGUGAGGUAAUGGCUCACCAAGGCGACGACGGGUAGCCGGCCUGAGAGGGUGACCGGCCACACUGGGACUGAGACACGGCCCAGACUCCUACGGGAGGCAGCAGUGGGGAAUAUUGCACAAUGUGCGAAAGCCUGAUGCAGCGACGCCGCGUGAGGGAUGACGGCCUUCGGGUUGUAAACCUCUUUCAGUAGGGAAGAAGCGAAAGUGACGGUACCUGCAGAAGAAGCACCGGCUAACUACGUG